rfam:Zootermopsis nevadensis contig2230, whole genome shotgun sequence.
ACUGACGUGGUGUAGCGGUUAGAACGCUGGCCUUAUAAUCCUGCGGUCUCGGGUUCAAUUCCCGGCGGUG